CGUUCCCCCCGGGUCGGUCGGUGCGGGCGUCGGGUAAAACCGCUGACUUUUCUGCGAGCUCCUCCUCGCCCUUCCCGGAUCUGGUUUCUCCGACCCAGGAAGGAGCCUUUGUAACCUAACUGUGUCCCCAUUUAAAGUGCUCGCCCUCGCCCCACCCCCAAGGAGAGAAGAAAAGUCUGCAGGGAAAUAAUUGCGCCCUGCAGAGAGACCGGAGCUCGCGGGGACCCGAAGGCCGGCGUGGGGGAGGGGCGCCCCGGUCCGGGUCGCUCCGCACCCCACCCUCCCUACUGUGCGUGGCCGGGGCCCCCGAGCCUCGGGUGAUCGGCCGCCUUCAGAAGGCCCUGCUGCUAGGCACGGGGGCGCGCGCCGGCUUCUCUCCCUCCGUAAGCCGGUUUAGAAUCCUGGGGAUCAGCAUCUCGGGAUCCCUAAAAGUGAGGCGGCUCGGCCUCCCGGGCGGGCCCGGGCAUGUUUGGCGGGGCUCGCUAUCAGCUCACAGCAAACCAUCCUGGUUUCCUACUUGACUUCCUGCUGUCCGAAACCACAAGUGUUUUUAAUUUUAGAAGACCAUGGCGUGAGGGUCCCCGAGUAGCCACGCUUCUCGGCCUCCCUGAUGCUGCGACCCUUUAACGCGGUUCUUCACGUUGUGACUCCCCAGCCAUAAAAUUAUCGUUGCUGCCUUGGAACUGUAAUUGUGCUACUGUUAUGAAUCGUAAUGUAUAGCCCCAAAGUAAGAUUGGCUUCAAGUCCUCCAAGACACCUGCUUCCACUGCUGGAUGCACCAGACCUGGUUUUGAAGGAAGUACAGUGGCCACAGGAUUACAGAUUUCAGCUGUGUGCAAAUGUGUUCACACAGGUCGAACGGCGGCGGGGUAUGUCUGGAGUGACUCUCAGGAGCCAGAUUUCUGCUGCCUGGUCUCACAGUGUCAGGGAAACCAGAGGAGGCUCCUGCCUCUGCUAGGCCCUAGAAAGACAUGCAGGCUGAGUGUCAGGAACUCCUCCGACCCAGCUUUGCUGAACUCUAGGCCCAGGGUUUGCAGGAUCCACAGCCACCAGCCCCUGGCCACCUCAGUUCCGGCUCCUCACCACCCCAGCCCUGUCAGCAGGCAAUCUCCUACUCUCUUCCUUUCAAGCUCCCACACUGUGAAAAGUCCAGUUAGCCAGACUUCCCCCCCACAGAGAGAGCCUGGUUGGGUCACUUCCCUUGUUCUGGAGCUUUCUCUACCCCCAGCUCCCUGGUGGUAGUCCCGCUUUCGGAGUAGGACUUUACACCCAGCAGAAGAACCCCGGAAGGUUUCUAUCAGUUAUAUGACACAUACACUGUGCACCUUCUCCGUAAUUUCUGUGGAGGAUUGAGUCCUUAGUCUAGUUACCUGCAGUAUUUAUAAACCAAAUAAAAUUUCCUUCCAAGUUCCCAACUGAGUCAGGUCCUGUGGCAAAGCUCUGUCUCUAGCCUGGAGACAACUGGACCACCUGACUGCCGGCUGGAGUGUGGUGUGGCCACCGCCUCUUUUGUUAACAGGACAGUUGAUCCAUUAAAUUAAAAAUCAGUCAAUAGAUCCAUUUUUUCCUAACGUGUGUGAAUACACAUUCCACCCUAAUUCUCAGACAUCAAUGCCAGCGGAGGUAGGGAACUACCAAGGGACGUUUCCACAAGUGGCCCCAAUAGGAAACUACCGGAAUAACCUCAUCACCAGAAUCCAGGAUAGCCAGAGGAACCUGGCUAGGGGCCAUCACUAAACCCCCAGUUCCCCCAACUCACUUUCUAGCAUGCCCCACUUGGGCAGACGCUGAAAUGCGGGGAUGCAGACAGAGCUGUGGGUCAGCCCCAG
ensembl:lncRNA